GCUAUACAUGCAAGUCGAGCGAACUGAUUAGAAGCUUGCUUCUAUGACGUUAGCGGCGGACGGGUGAGUAACACGUGGGCAACCUGCCUGUAAGACUGGGAUAACUUCGGGAAACCGAAGCUAAUACCGGAUAGGAUCUUCUCCUUCAUGGGAGAUGAUUGAAAGAUGGUUUCGGCUAUCACUUACAGAUGGGCCCGCGGUGCAUUAGCUAGUUGGUGAGGUAACGGCUCACCAAUGCAACGAUGCAUAGCCGACCUGAGAGGGUGAUCGGUCACACUGGGACUGAUACACGGCCCAGACUCCUACGGGA
rnacentral:rRNA from 1 species